rnacentral:rRNA from 1 species
GCUAAACGCGAAGAACCUUACCUACCCUUGACAUGUCCGAAACUUUCCAGAGAUGGAUUGGUGCCCGAAAGGGAAUCGGAACACAGGUGCUGCAUGGCUGUCGUCAGCUCGUGUCGUGAGAUGUUGGGUUAAGUCCCGCAACGAGCGCAACCCUUGUCCUUAGUUGCUACGCAAGAGCACUCUAAGGAGACUGCCGGUGACAAACCGGAGGAAGGUGGGGAUGACGUCAAGUCCUCAUGGCCCUUAUGGGUAGGGCUUCACACGUCAUACAAUGGUCGGUACAGAGGGUUGCCAAGCCGCGAGGUGGAGCCAAUCCCACAAAGCCGAUCGUAGUCCGGAUUGUUCUCUGCAACUCGAGAGCAUGAAGUCGGAAUCGCUAGUAAUCGCAGGUCAGCAUACUGCGGUGAAUACGUUCCCGGGUCUUGUACACACCG